rnacentral:tRNA from 3 species
GGGGCUGUAGCUCAGUUGGGAGAGCGCCGCGUUCGCAAUGCGGAGGCCGUCGGUUCGAUCCCGAUCAGCUCCA